GCUACCAUGACUUUGAUCCCCGUCUUCAUCUGGACACUGAUCCUCUGGACUCAAGAAUGCAGAGGUCAAGUCACAGUAACUCAGACUCCUGCAGUGAAAUCUGCUCUUCCAGGAGAAACAGUCACCAUCAACUGUAGAACUAAUCCACAGGUGUACCAAAGUUGGGGUUAUCAACCUUUAGCUUGGUUUCAGCAGAAACCUGGAGAAGCUCCUAAACUACUGAUCAUAAAAGCAAAUCAGCUACAGUCGGGUAUUCCAGCUCGUUUCAGUGGCAGUGGAUCUGGAUCUGAUUUCACUCUGACCAUCAGUGGAGUCCAGACUGAAGAUGCAGGAGAUUAUUACUGUCAGAGUUUCCAUUAUAUCAGUAGCACCAACCUGUUCACACAGUGUUAUAGAGUCGUACAAAAACCUCCCUCAGUCAGAUUGUAG